GACGAAGGGGGCUAGCGUUGUUCGGAAUUACUGGGCGUAAAGCGAGUGUAGGUGGUUGUCCAAGUUGGAUGUGAAAGCCUUGAGCUCAACUCAAGAAAUGCAUUCAGGACUGGGCGGCUAGAGAACCGGAGAGGAUAGUGGAAUUCCCAGUGUAGUGGUGAAAUACGUAGAGAUUGGGAAGAACACCAGUGGCGAAGGCGGCUAUCUGGACGGUUUCUGACACUAAGACUCGAAAGCGUGGGGAGCAAACAGG
rnacentral:rRNA from 1 species